rnacentral:rRNA from 1 species
AGGAUAAACGCUGGCGGCGUGCCUAACACAUGCAAGUCGAACGUCUCUUUCUUCGGGAAGAGGAGUGGCGGACGGGUGAGGAACACGUGGGAACCUGCCCUUCAGUGAGGAAUACCGGCGAGAAAUCGCCGACAAGACCGCAUAGCCCUCUCUGGUGAGAGCCAGAGAAGGAAAGCUUCGCAAGAGGCGCUGGAGGAGGGGCCUGCGUCCGAUUAGCUAGUUGGUGGGGUAAGAGCCUAUCAAGGCGUCGAUCGGUAGCUGGUCUGAGAGGUCGAUCAGCCACACUGGGAUUGAGAACGGCCCAGACUCCUACGGGGGCAGCAGUGAGGAAUUUUCGGCAAUGGGGGAAACCCUGACCGAGCAACGCCGCGUGCAGGAAGACGGCCUCGGGUUGUAACUGCUUUCUUUGGGACGAGCAAGGACGGUACCAGAGGAAUCAGCCCCGGCUCACUACGUGCCAGCAGCCGC